rnacentral:rRNA from 1 species
GAUGAACGCUGGCGGCGUGCCUAAUACGUGCAAGUCGAGCGAACAGACGAGGAGCUUGCUCCUCUGACGUUAGCGGCGGACGGGUGAGUAACACGUGGAUAACCUACCUAUAAGACUGGGAUAACUUCGGGAAACCGGAGCUAAUACCGGAUAAUAUAUUGAACCGCAUGGUUCAAUAGUGAAAGACGGUUUUGCUGUCACUUAUAGAUGGAUCCGCGCCCCAUUAGCUAGUUGGUAAGGUAACGGCUUACCAAGGCAACGAUGCGUAGCCGACCUGAGAGGGUGAUCGGCCACACUGGAACUGAGACACGGUCCAGACUCCUACGGGAGGCAGCAGUAGGGAAUCUUCCGCAAUGGGCGAAAGCCUGACGGAGCAACGCCGCGUGAGUGAUGAAGGUCUUCGGAUCGUAAAACUCUGUUAUUAGGGAAGAACAAAUGUGUAAGUAACUAUGCACGUCUUGACGGUACCUAAUCAGAAAGCCACGGCUAACUACGUGCCAGCCGCCGCGGUAAUAC